CAGUGUGUAUAAUUCUAUUCAUUCAUAUACUGGCACAUGCUUCAUUGUCUCUAUUUAAGAGAACUGAAGAAAACUGAAGAUCGGAGAGAUUCUUUACACAUUAAUAAACUAGAAAAUCAUCUUUUGGAGUUUUAUGAAGAACUUCUCAUGGU
rnacentral:lncRNA from 1 species